GUAGAUAUAGUUUAUUUAAAACGUCAGGGUGUGGACCUGGCAAAAGGAGUUAAAACCCCCUUAUCUGCC
rnacentral:tRNA from 1 species